GUGCACGGCCCGGAGAACAAAGAGCAGUGCCCACAAGGGACGGGGCUGCCUGGCCGAGAAAGGACUGCUCAGCACGUGAGCGAUAGGAGCCCGGAGACAGAACUACACCGGCCCGGCCCAGGCAGUCGUCCCAGCCCAACUGAGCCCGGAACUCCUCUUCCCUCACGGCCACGGACGGCGUGUCUUCCGGCGGGGCGGGACGGGACGGGACGGGACGGGACUCAGCCUUCGCUUGGCUCCGCUGCUCUGUGUCC
ensembl:lncRNA